GCCCAGAUGGGUAGCUUAAUCUGGAGAACACGAGACUCUUGAUUUCUGGGUUCUGGGCUCAAACCCCAAGUUGGGCA